UGAACUUUUACUGAUAUCUGAUAACAAAAAAAGUUCAACAAUGCUGAAAUCUUUGUAUGUGGUUAAGAAAACCUAUGUGUCAUUGGGCGAUUCAAUUAACGAACAUUGCUCUAAUCCAGUAGUUUCAAAUGAGUUUUUCAAAUUGUCAGCCAUGUAGUAAAAAAAAGCACUAACGAAGCGCUAUACCUUGUCCAAGUCCGACAGCGAUGACGUAACGCGUCGUGAUGACGUCAUCACGCAUGACGUAGCGGCAUGGUAAUAGCUUGGG